rnacentral:rRNA from 1 species
UACGUAGGGGGCUAGCGUUGUCCGGAAUCAUUGGGCGUAAAGCGCGUGUAGGCGGCCCGAUAAGUCCGCUGUGAAAGUCCAGGGCUCAACCCUGGGAUGCCGGUGGAAACUGUCGGGCUAGAGUCCGGAAGAGGCGAGUGGAAUUCCCGGUGUAGCGGUGAAAUGCGCAGAUAUCGGGAGGAACACCAAUGGCGAAGGCAGCUCGCUGGGACGGUACUGACGCUGAGACGCGAAAGCGUGGGGAGCAAACAGG